CGCCAGGCCCCGGCCCGUGGGCUCCGAGCGACGUCGGGCUGCUCGCCCUGCCCGUUGCCCUCCUCGGGAGGUCCCCUGCACCCCGGGUGCCCCCUCGCCCUGGGGUGCCCCAUGCAGGAGGCCUGGAGGGGGAGAAGGAGGGUUUGCAGCCCCAUUGCUGCCGGGCUGAGUUGGGAUGCUUCCUGCACGGGGAGAAGGGGCACAGUGUGGGCUGGGGGUGCAGCGUGUCCCCUCUCUGCCUGCCCCCCCAGGAGACGCGGGCCUUCCUGCAGCAGCUGCAGGGCUUCUUCGAGACCUACGUUGCCUGGGCCAAGAGCAGCCUCACGAGAGAGGUGGCUCGUUGCAAGCCUGUGGCUCGGACCCUGGACAGCGUGGAGGCCAUGGCCUGCGACUACAUCCUGGACUCUUUGGUGAGGGGGGCACUUGCCCAUCUCCUCCGUGCAGGGUGCAGGGGGUGGCACCCAGGUCCCCUUGUCACCCUCGUGUGCAGGGCGAGGGGUACUGGGCAGGCAGGGCGCAGCGUUGCCUUGGCCCUGACGGCUCUACCUUAUGCCCAGAACACCUUCUGGUUCAGCCUGGGCUGGUGCACCUUCCUCCUGCUGCCUGGCCUCAUCCUCGCUGUGCGACUCGCCAAGUUUUACCGCCGGAUGGACAUCGCUGACGUCUACGAGUGAGGAGCUGCCUGCCCUCCGCGACCGUACACUGGGUCUAGGGUCCCCCUGCCAGCCCCUGCAAGCCCUCCUUGGGAGCCACCCCGGGGUGCAAAGGGAGCUCAGGUUGCUCAGGGCCUUCAGCUG
rnacentral:lncRNA from 1 species